rnacentral:rRNA from 1 species
UGGAAGGCUUGAGUACAGAAGAGGAAAGCGGAAUUCCACGUGUAGCGGUGAAAUGCGUAGAGAUGUGGAGGAACACCAGUGGCGAAGGCGGCUUUCUGGUCUGUAACUGACGCUGAGGCGCGAAAGCAUGGGGAGCAAACAGGAUUAGAUACCCUGGUAGUCCAUGCCGUAAACGAUGAGUGCUAAGUGUUAGGGGGUUUCCGCCCCUUAGUGCUGGAGCAAACGCAUUAAGCACUCCGCCUGGGGAGUACGGCCGCAAGGCUGAAACUCAAAGGAAUUGACGGGGACCCGCACAAGCGGUGGAGCAUGUGGUUUAAUUCGAAGCUACGCGAAGAACCUUACCAGGUCUUGACAUCCCGCUGACCGGUAUAGAGAUAUACCUUUCCCUUCGGGGACAGCGGUGACAGGUGGUGCAUGGUUGUCGUCAGCUCGUGUCGUGAGAUGUUGGGUUAAGUCCCGUAACGAGCGCAACCCUUGACCUUAGUUGCCAGCAUUCAGUUGGGCACUCUAAGGUGACUGCCGGUGACAAACCGGAGGAAGGUGGGGAUGACGUCAAAUCAUCAUGCCCCUUAUGACCUGGGCUACACACGUGCUACAAUGGACGGUACAGAGGGUUGCCAACCCGCGAGGGGGAGCUAAUCCCAUAAAACCGUUCCCAGUUCGGAUUGCAGGCUGCAACUCGCCUGCAUGAAGCAGGAAUCGCUAGUAAUCGUGGAUCAGCAUGCCACGGUGAAUACGUUCCCGGGUCUUGUACACACCGCCCGUCACACCACGAGAGUUUGUAACACCCGAAGUCGGUGGGGUAACCCUUUUGGGAGCCAGCCGCCGAAGGUGGGACAGAUGAUUGGGGUGAAGUCGUAACAAGGUAGCCGUAUCGGAAGGUGCGGUUGGAUCACCUCCUUAUCUUGCUG